AUGUGGAGCAGAUAUGAAAGUCAUGACCGUAAACACCAGAAGAUUUGCUUUUCAGAAGGUGUAGUGUGGGUAACUGCAAUAGCAUCAUCAUCUCUCCGUGGUCAAGCAGAAGGAUGGAGCAAAGGGAUAAGUUGUAAGUCGAUUUCUGAUGUCAAUAUUUGCUACCAUUCAUAUUUUGGUAAUAAUCUAGAAGACGGGAGCAAGGAUGAUUCCAGUUUCUUGCCUUAGAUUAAGCCAGUAUCAUUAAGUGAGGCGACACAUAAAGAAGGAGAAAGAGCACUUAACUUCCUUUUGUAUAUAUAUAGUGAGUGUGAAGUUCUUGGAAGAUAUCUAGAGAUAGAUUUCUUGUGUAUAUUUUACUAUGGUACUAAAAGAAAAGAGAUGAUGAUACAAUCACCAGAUGCAGGAAAGAAUUGACAAUCUGUGAGAUAUAAAGUAGUUUAUAAUGAAUCACUACUUUGAAAAUAUUUCAGAUCAAUUUUUUUUUUUUGGUUGUUUGCUGGGGAAGAUUUGCCCUGAGCUACCAUCUGUUGCCAAUAUUCCUCUUUUUUGUUUAAUAUGUGCUGCCGCCACAGCAUGGCCACUGACAGAUGAGCAGUGAGGUUCCAUGCCCGAAAACUGAGCCCAAGUUGCCAAAGUGGAGCGCUCUGAACUUUAACCACUAGGCCAUGGAGGCUGGCCUCUCAGAUAAAUUUUUAUAGUGUAUUAAUAAGCAUUCAGAUUCAAGAGAAGGACAUAUAGAGGCUAUAUGUGGCAAUUUUAAUAACUGGCAGGUUUUCAUAAUUGUUUUUUAAAGAAGAUUACCCAUAACUUUUUAAAAGUCACAAAUUCAGGGCUGGCUCGGUGGUAUAGUGGUUAAGUCCAGUUCACUCUGCUUUGGUGGCCCAGGUUCUCAGGUUUGGAUCAUGGGCACAGACCUGCACCACUCAUCAAGACAUGCUGUGGCAGCGACCCACACACAAAAUAGAGGAAAGAUUGGCACAGAUGUUAGCUCAGGGCCAAUCUGCCUCACCAACAAAAAAGAAAAGUGACAAAUUCAGUGGAAUUUUUUCCAACGUUCACUUUUCAAAAAGGGAAAAUCAUAGUCAUGUUACUGAUCAUGGUUUUGGUGACUAAUAGGAGUGGUACACCUUUUUCAUUUGGAAGAGUAAGAGGACAUGUCACUGCUUUAGUUGGAAUCAUUGAAAAUUCUUAUUUGCCAAUUCGCUAUGUAAAAAUACCAUGAGUAAAUUCUCCAUGUGAUAAACUGAACCUGGGAAGCGAAAGCAGCACAAUGAUCAGUAAUUCUUGGGAUUAUAUUAUUUCCUGUAUUGCCUGCCAUCUAUUGGAAAGAGGGCCUCUGGAAGUGCACCAAGGUCAAAUCUUAAGUGAGGGCGUAAAUCUAAGCCCUGGUGUGUACCCUAUAAUCUAACGAGGAGAAGAUAUUUGUUUUUACAAUGAGUCCUUUUUGGAGGAGAUUGAGUCCAACCUUAGACCUUGCUUCCUAGGUAGGACGUCAGGUGCUGCUGCUGAGAUAACAGGGCCAGCGCAGGUGACCUCUCCCAAAACUCUGAAGGAAGAGAAGACUUCUUCUUUAACACUUGCUGUGUGAUUGUGGGUCAAAAGAGGCCCUUUUUCAAUUGUCUCAGAGAUUAAAUUCCAGUUCUGAAAUUGUCCUAUCCCUUUGAAUCAGAGAGUCAGCUUACCCUUGAUUGCUAAAAAUGAAAAUCGUAGUCUUUACCAGAUUGAAUAGUAUGGCUAUAUCUGGUUCAUCUUGGACAAUAUUUUGCUGAUGUCAUUGUAUAGUGGUCAUUGGUCCUCUCUCUGUCCCGUGUAUGGCUCCAUUAGUAAGAUUUCUGUAAAAUGCAGCAUUGUUCACAUUGAUCCAUUAAACCAUAUAUCUGCAUAACGUCUACUAGUUUAAGCAUGGAAAGGUGGUGAAGUCCUAACUAGUCAGCCAUCCUCUUGAAUUAGACAUAAACUUGCAACAGACAACCAGUAUGGAUUGUGUCCAGGGUCCCCUAAUCAAUGUUAGGGGGCCAACACCCCCCUCCACACUUGGAUUAACGGAUUUCUUAGCAUUAUUGAAAACUAGUUCAUGGCAUAGAGUAGAAAGCUGUGCCCAGUAGUGUAUGUGCUUAACAAGUGUUUGAGCAGAAUAAAAGAUGGGCAUUUUUAACCA
rnacentral:lncRNA from 1 species